rnacentral:rRNA from 1 species
GUACACGCUGUGACUAGCAUAUCAAUAAGCGGAGGAAAAGAAACUAACAAGGAUUCCCCUAGUAACGGCGAGUGAAGCGGGAAGAGCUCAAAUUUGAAAUCUUAAAGGGUUUCCCUUUACGAAUUGUAGUUUAAAGAAGUGUUUUCUGUUGAGGUUUUGGUAAAAGUUCUUUGGAAUAGGACAUCAUAGAGGGUGAGAAUCCCGUAUUUGACCUUUACUUUCAACUUUGUGAUACACUUUCAAAGAGUCGGAUUGUUUGGGAAUGCAGUCCAAAAUGGGUGGUAAAUUUCAUCUAAAGCUAAAUAUUGGCGAGAGACCGAUAGCGAACAAGUACCGUGAGGGAAAGAUGAAAAGAACUUUGAAAAGAGAGUUAAACAGUACGUGGAAAUUGUCAAAAGGGAAGCGUUUGACGCCAGUGUUGUUUUUCUGAAAAUCAAUUAAAGAACUGUUUAUGCUAAGCUGUUUAGACUUUAUCAGCUAAUCUGUUUAGUUUUGAGCUUUUCUUUAAUGCACUUUUCAGUUAACAAGUCAACAUCAAUUUCUUUUGCUGUAAAAAAGCUUGAGGAAGGUGGCUUGAGAUUCGUCUUAAGUGUUUAUAGCCUCUUGCCUAUGCAGUCGGAGAGAUUGAGGUCUGCAGCGUAGAUCCUUCGGGGCUAAAUGCAUUUGUGCUAAGUUAUAGCAUUUUAUAGACAACUUGUUGACUAUGAUUUGUCUUGUAGCUUACUCGCUUAUGUUAUUUUACCUACGCUUAGGAUGUUGAAGAUGUAGCACAUCAU